rnacentral:rRNA from 1 species
UUACGGCCAUAUCACGUUGAAACACCAGUUCUCGGACGAUCACCAAAGUUAAGCAACGUUAAGUCUGGUCAGUAUCUAGAUGAGUAACUGCUUGGCAAUACCAGGUGCUGUAAG